rnacentral:rRNA from 1 species
GACGAACGCUGGCGGCGUGCUUAACACAUGCAAGUCGAACGGAAAGGCCCUGCUUUUGUGGGGUGCUCGAGUGGCGAACGGGUGAGUAACACGUGAGUAACCUGCCCUUGACUUUGGGAUAACUUCAGGAAACUGGGGCUACUACCGGAUAGGAGCUCCUGCUGCAUGGUGGGGGUUGGAAAGUUUCGGCGGUUGGGGAUGGACUGGCGGCUUAUCAGCUUGUUGGUGGGGUAGUGGCUUACCAAGGCUUUGACGGGUAGCCGGCCUGAGAGGGUGACCGGCGACAUUGGUACUGAGGUACGGCCCAGACGCCUACGGGAGGCAGCAGUGGGGAAUAUUGCACAAUGGGCGGAAGCCUGAUGCAGCAACGCCGCGUGCGGGAUGACGGCCUUCGGGGUGUAAACCGCUUUCGCCUGUGACGAAGCGGGAGUGACGGUAAUGGGUAAAGAAGCACCGGCUAACUACGUG